GCAACAAAAUCGCUGCAACUUGCAACAAAAUCUGAUUUCAACGCAUGUUAAGUAGAAAUGUCGACACAUGUUGCCUUGUGAUUUGUAAUUUUUGUGUAAACAUUUUCAAUUAACAUGCGUUGAAAUCAGAUUUUGUUGCAAGUUGCAGCAAUUUUGUUG